UGAGGGGGGCUGCUCCUAGUACGAGAGGACCGGAGUGGACGCAUCACUGGUGUUCGGGUUGUCAUGCCAAUGGCACUGCCCGGUAGCUAAAUGCGGAAGAGAUAAGUGCUGAAAGCAUCUAAGCACGAAACUUGCCCCGAGAUGAGUUCUCCCUGACCCUUUAAGGGUCCUGAAGGAACGUUGAAGACGACGACGUUGAUAGGGCGGGUGUGUAAGCGCAGCGAUGCGUUGAGCUAACCGGUACUAAUGAACCGUGAGGCUUAACCUUACAACGCCGAAG
rnacentral:rRNA from 1 species